UGGAGCAUUCUGGAACUUGGAAUUCCAAAGGCUACAUUGCUGGAAUAUCCACCUGUGUAGGGACUUCUACCUUGCCCUGUGUGAUGUCAUAGUGUAGAGCCAUCUUGCUUUUGACUGGAGCAUUCAGGUUUAAUAGCACUUUAUAAGUGAUGAUUUUCUUUCUUUGUGGAACCUUUGUCAGCCAUGCUCAGCAAGGACUGCCAGGAAAAUGUUGACUCGGAGAGGUGAUACCAGAGAUUUACAGUUUAGCUGAAGCAAAGGAAGAUGAGACAGAAGAAUGGAUCUGUAGUGGUAGAAUUUCCAGUCCAGCAAUGUAAUAGGGCAUUUGUGGACUCAGGUUUAUCUUAAUUACUUCCCUAAAAUCAUGUUAUACAGAUGAUUGCCUCUGACCAAAGGCCAGUUCUACCACCAAUAAAAAUAAAACUUAGUAUGUGUGUCUCUGAGAACAUGUUACUGGUGCAGUUUGAGAAUAUCAUUAAAAUGUAUGACGCGU